CAGUAGCCGCGGGAAAACGAAGGGGGCUAGCGUUGUUCGGAAUUACUGGGCGUAAAGCGCACGUAGGCGGAUAUUUAAGUCAGGGGUGAAAUCCCGCAGCUCAACUGCGGAACUGCCUUUGAUACUGGGUAUCUUGAGUAUGGAAGAGGUUAGUGGAAUUGCGAGUGUAGAGGUGAAAUUCGUAGAUAUUCGCAGGAACACCAGUGGCGAAGGCGGCUAACUGGUCCAUAACUGACGCUGAGGUGCGAAAGCGUGGGGAGCAAACAGGAUUAGAUACCCCCGAGUCCCUGUCUCUUAUACA
rnacentral:rRNA from 1 species